rnacentral:rRNA from 1 species
UACAGAGGUCCCAAGCGUUGUUCGGAUUCACUGGGCGUAAAGGGUGCGUAGGUGGUGAGGUAAGUCGGAUGUGAAAGCUCCGAGCUCAACUCGGAAAUGGCAUUGGAAACUACCUUGCUAGAGGGUUUGAGGGGGGACUGGAAUACUUGGUGUAGCAGUGAAAUGCGUAGAUAUCAAGUGGAACACCAGUGGCGAAGGCGAGUCCCUGGAAAACUCCUGACACUGAGGCACGAAAGCUAGGGGAGCAAACAGGA